rnacentral:misc_RNA from 1 species
UCCAGCUUAAACGCUGGCAGUCUGAUAUGAAAAUCAACAUAUCAUGGGGGUUGCGCUCGUUCUCCCACUUAAGGGAACAUCUCACGACACGAGCUGACGACAACCGUGCAGCACCUGUGUAGCACCCUCGAAGGUCACACGUUUCCGUGCGCUUGCAGCUACAUGUCAAACCCUGGUAAGGUUCCUCGCUUAUCGUCGAAUUAAACCACAUGCUCCACCGCUUGUGCGGGUCCCCGUCAAUUCCUUUGAGUUUUAGCCUUGCGGCCGUACUCCCCAGGCGGAAUAUUUAACGCGUUAGCUACGGCUCGCACGAGGGUCGAUACUCGCGCAUGCCUAAUAUUCAUCGUUUACAGCGUGGACUA